GAUGAACGCUGGCGGCGUGCUUAACACAUGCAAGUCGAACGGUGAAGGCGGAGCUUGCUCUGCUGGAUCAGUGGCGAACGGGGGAGUAACACGUGAGCAAUCUGCCCCUGACUCUGGGAUAAGCGCUGGAAACGGCGUCUAAUACUGGAUACGAGCUGCGAAGGCAUCUUCAGCAGCUGGAAAGAACUUCGGUCAGGGAUGAGCUCGCGGCCUAUCAGCUUGUUGGUGAGGUAACGGCUCACCAAGGCGUCGACGGGUAGCCGGCCUGAGAGGGUGACCGGCCACACUGGGACUGAGACACGGCCCAGACUCCUACGGGAGGCAGCAGUGGGGAAUAUUGCACAAUGGGCGCAAGCCUGAUGCAGCAACGCCGCGUGAGGGACGACGGCCUUCGGGUUGUAAACCUCUUUUAGCAGGGAAGACGCGAAAGUGACGGUACCUGAAGAAAAAGCGCCGGCUAACUACGUG
rnacentral:rRNA from 1 species